CCUACGGGUGGCAGCAGUGAGGAAUAUUGGUCAAUGGCCGAGAGUCUGAACCAGCCAAGUCGCGUGAGGGAUGACUGCCCUACGGGUUGUAAACUUCUUUUAUAGGGGAACAAAAAGAGUCACGUGUGACUCAUUGAGAGUACCCGAAGAAAAAGCAUCGGCUAACUCCGUGCCAGCAGCCGCGGUAAUACGGAGGAUGCGAGCGUUAUCCGGAUUUAUUGGGUUUAAAGGGUGCGCAGGGGGAUUGGAAAGUCAGCGGUAAAAUUUGGGGGCUAAACCCCGUAUUGCCGUUGAAAAUGCAUCCCUUGAGUGCGUUUGAGGUAGGCGGAAUGCGUGGUGUAGCGGUGAAAUGCAUAGAUAUCACGCAGAACUCCGAUUGCGAAGGCAGCUUACUAAGCUAUAACUGACACUGAAGCACGAAAGCGUGGGGAUCAAACAGGAUUAGAUACCCGAGUAGUC
rnacentral:rRNA from 1 species